UCAAACAGUAAACACUAGCGACCAAGCCACAGAAUUCAGCAGCAGCUCCAUACAGCCUAUUGAUCCAGCAGCAAGUAACAGAAGAUCUAUACUGCCUGAUCCAUCUGAAAAUAUGCCAAAUCUGCCGGAAGAUGAAAGAACCCCACAAGACACAGCUGACUACGAAUGUCAUGGAGAUAGUCCAUUCUGAUUUAGCAGAGAUGAGGCAGACCCGACCAGCAAAGAUAAAUAAGUAUCUGCGCUGGUGAACUGAAACUUCGCUUCGGAACAACUGUCCUACUGAUUCCUGUGAGCAGAAAUAUCACGUGUAGUAAUAUUACCUUAUCUGGAACUACCUAGCAUGAACACUAUCGGCAUGAUGUAAUAUUAAGUAUCUAAAUAACUAUGUAUAAUCA